GGUGGUAAUGCCGGAUGCUCCAGUUGAUCGCAUGGUCUUCUGGGAAAGCUUUCGCGGUAUGGGAUGGGGUCGCGUCCUAUCAGCUUGACGGCGGGGUAACGGCCCACCGUGGCUUCGACGGGUAGCCGGCCUGAGAGGGCGACCGGCCACAUUGGGACUGAGAUACGGCCCAGACUCCUACGGGAGGCAGCAGUGGGGAAUAUUGCACAAUGGGCGCAAGCCUGAUGCAGCGACGCCGCGUGAGGGAUGGAGGCCUUCGGGUUGUAAACCUCUUUUAUCGGGGAGCAAGCGAGAGUGAGUUUACCCGUUGAAUAAGCACCGGCUAACUACGUGCCAGCAGCCGCGGUAAUACGUAGGGUGCAAGCGUUAUCCGGAAUUAUUGGGCGUAAAGGGCUCGUAGGCGGUUCGUCGCGUCCGGUGUGAAAGUCCAUCGCUUAACGGUGGAUCCGCGCCGGGUACGGGCGGGCUUGAGUGCGGUAGGGGAGACUGGAAUUCCCGGUGUAACGGUGGAAUGUGUAGAUA
rnacentral:rRNA from 1 species